UUUUAUUUGAGAGUUUGAUCCUGGCUCAGGAUGAACGCUGGCGGCGUGCCUAACACAUGCAAGUUGAGCGAUUUACUUCGGUAAAGAGCGGCGGACGGGUGAGUAACGCGUGGGUAACCUACCCUGUACACACGGAUAACAUACCGAAAGGUAUGCUAAUACGGGAUAAUAUAUUUGAGAGGCAUCUCUUAAAUAUCAAAGGUGAGCCAGUACAGGAUGGACCCGCGUCUGAUUAGCUAGUUGGUAAGGUAACGGCUUACCAAGGCGACGAUCAGUAGCCGACCUGGGAGGGUGAUCGGCCACAUUGGAACUGAGACACGGUCCAAACUCCUACGGGAGGCAGCAGUGGGGAAUAUUGCACAAUGGGCGAAAGCCUGAUGCAGCAACGCCGCGGGAGUGAUGAAGGCCUUCGGGUCGUAAA
rnacentral:rRNA from 1 species